rnacentral:ncRNA from 2 species
AUAAAUUUUGUAAUUUAAAAAAUUUAAUUUAAAUUUAUUUUACAUAUAAAUUUUAGUGUUAAUUUUUAAUUAUUUUAAUAAUUUUUAAAAAAUGAUUGGUAGUAAUUAAAAUUAUAAAUUUAAGAAAUUAAGAUUUAGUAAUAUUUAUAUUUAUUAACAAAUUUUGUGCCAGCAGUUGCGGUUAUACAAAUAAUAAUUUAAAUUUUAUUAGUAAAUAAUUAGUAUAAUAAGAAAAAAAUUAAAUAUUAAUUUAUUAGGUAAAAUUUUAAUUUAAUAAAAAUUUUAAUUAAUUAUAUGAUUUAUUAAAUUUUGAAAAAAACUAGGAUUAGAUACCCUAUUAUUAAAAAUUAAAUUAAUAAUACUAAAUUAGUAUAUAAUAAUUUAUAAAAACUUAAAUAAUUUGGCGGUAUUUUAGUUCAUUUAGAGGAAUCUGUUUAAUAAUUGAUAAUCCACGAAUAAAUUUACUUAAUUUAUAAAUUUUGUAUAUCGUUGUUAAAAAAAUAUUUUUUAAUAAAAAUAAUAUUUUAAAAUUAUAAAUAUAAUUUAGUUCAGAUCAAGAUGCAGAUUAUAAUUAAGAAUAUAAUGGAUUACAAUAUAUAAUAAAUAAAUGGAUAUUAUUGUUUAAUAAAUAUUUGAAAAUGGAUUUAAAUGUAAUUUUAUUUAAUUUAUUAAAAUGAUUAUAAAUUAAAAUAUGUACAUAUUGCCCGUCGCUUUCAUAUAUAAAUUGAAAUAAGUCGUAACAAAGUAGAAGUACUGGAAAGUGUUUCUAGAAAGAA